rnacentral:rRNA from 1 species
ACGUAGGGCGCAAGCGUUGUCCGGAAUUAUUGGGCGUAAAGAGCUCGUAGGCGGUUUGUCGCGUCUGCUGUGAAAACCCGAGGCUCAACCUCGGGCCUGCAGUGGGUACGGGCAGACUAGAGUGUGGUAGGGGAGACUGGAAUUCCUGGUGUAGCGGUGGAAUGCGCAGAUAUCAGGAGGAACACCAAUGGCGAAGGCAGGUCUCUGGGCCACAACUGACGCUGAGGAGCGAAAGCGUGGGGAGCGAACAGGA